GUGCUCACUUUGACAGCACAUAUACUAAAAUGGGAAUGCAACAGAGAACAUUAGCAUGGCCCCUGAGCAAGGAUGACAUGCAAAUUUGUGAAGCAUUCCAUAUAUUU
ensembl:snRNA U6 U6 spliceosomal RNA